UACGUAGGGGGCGAGCGUUGUCCGGAUUUACUGGGCGUAAAGCGCGUGUAGGCGGCCGUUUAAGUUGGGUGUGAAAGCCCGGGGCUCAACCCCGGGACGCCGCCCAAGACUGGACGGCUUGAGGACGGAAGAGGGGAGUGGAAUUCCAGGUGUAGCGGUGAAAUGCGUAGAGAUCUGGAGGAACACCCGUGGCGAAGGCGGCUCCCUGGUCCGUCCCUGACGCUGAGACGCGAAAGCGCGGGGAGCGAAC
rnacentral:rRNA from 1 species